rnacentral:rRNA from 1 species
AGUGAACGCUGGCGGUAGGCCUAACACAUGCAAGUCGAACGGCAGCACAGUAAGAGCUUGCUCUUACGGGUGGCGAGUGGCGGACGGGUGAGGAAUACAUCGGAAUCUACUUUUUCGUGGGGGAUAACGUAGGGAAACUUACGCUAAUACCGCAUACGACCUACGGGUGAAAGCAGGGGAUCUUCGGACCUUGCGCGAUUGAAUGAGCCGAUGUCGGAUUAGCUAGUUGGCGGGGUAAAGGCCCACCAAGGCGACGAUCCGUAGCUGGUCUGAGAGGAUGAUCACCCACACGGAAAAGGAGACGCGGCCCAGCCCCCUCGGGGGGGCGGCAGUGGGAAAUUUGGAACAAGGGGCGCAAGCCUGACCCGGCCAUCCCGGGGGGGGAAAGAAGGCCUUCGGGUUGUAAAGCCUUUUUGUUGGAAAAAAAAAGCAGCAGGUUAAUACCCCGCUGUUCUGACGGUACCCAAAGAAUAAGCACCGGCAAACUUCGG